GACGAACGCUGGCGGCGUGCUUAACACAUGCAAGUCGAACGGAGUGGCGAACGGGUGAGUAACACGUGGGUGAUAUGCCUUGCACUUCGGGAUAAGCUUGGGAAAAUGGGUCUAAUACCCGAUAGUGCAAGAUGAGCUCGCGGCCGAGCAGCUUGUUGGUGGGGUAAUGUACUACCAAGGCGUCGACGGGUAGCCGGCCGGAGAGGGUGGCCGGCCACAUGGGUACUGAGGUAGGGCCCAGAGUCCUACAGGAGGCAGCAGUGGGGAAUAUUGCACAAUGUGCGGAAGCAUGAUGCAGCGACGCUGCGUGGGGGAUGAAGGUCUUCGGGUUGUAAACUCCUUUCGACAGGGACGCGGUACCUGUAUAAGAAGCACCGGCUAACUACGUGCCAGCAGCCGCGGUAAUUC
rnacentral:rRNA from 1 species